GCAAGAAUAGGGAUGGCAAAAUUAAGACGAAUAGCGAAAAAUAUAUGAAGUUUCAGAAGUAUUGUUUUACACUUACAGAAAUAUGUCACCGAGAUAUUUUGUAAGGUUAUGAGUAGUUUCUCAGUGAAGUCUUUUUUUUCUGAUAAUUGACUAUUGACACUUUUUGUUCACUAUGAAGAUAUAUAUAUAUGUAUACGCACACAUGUACUUGUAUUUAUGUCUGUACUUACAUAUAGAUUGUGCAAACCAGAUGGAUUGCCCUCCUGGAAGUUAUUGCUACCAUGGCGUGUGUAAAGAUUUGAUGGAUGAUGAAUUCUGACGUACCGUAAUCAAGUUGAAUAAAGAACCAAGACGAUAGAAGAACACACAAUUUAUACAUUGAUAUUGCUUUACCUUUCGAAUAGUCUCAGCAUGUGUGAUUUUUUAUUGUCGAUGUUAUUUUAGAUUAAAUACAAAAUUCUAUUAACAAUGCAUGAUAUAUAUUUAUUUCAAGGCUAUGUGAAAAACUUCUAAUUCUACCUAAUUCGUUUGUAAUGAAAGUUAAGUGUAAAACAAGAAGUAAUUUUUGAAACUUCGUCGAAAGUUUUGAAAACGGCUGCCAAAUUUAGAAUUCUACCGAGUACAAAUCAAAGUUUUCAACUUCCUAGACGGGGAAGAAUAUUUCCCAUUUUUCAAAGUGGAUGGUCGGAUUCAAAUAUUUUUUACUCUUUCAGGAUUGAUUUUAUUCAAGACAAUCAUGUAGAAAUUUUGUUACUCACGAAGUC